rnacentral:lncRNA from 1 species
AGCAUGGAAGCAUGAUGGGAGCUGGCCGCAGCAGGGCAGGGGCGGUGGGAGGGUGGCGUGCGGCCGGGGAGUGUGGAUGAAAUCCUAUCAUCUUCCAGGAAACAACAUUAAUGUCUACGAUUAAGAAGAAACAGCAGUGCAAGCAUAUACUUUGCAGAUGUGGCAACAGUGAUUGAUAGAGACAGUUAAACGGACACCUGGGGGGCUGUCGGUGAAGGGUCUGCCUUCGGCUCAGGACAUGAUCUCUGGGUCCUGGGAGCAAGCACCGGGCUCUCUGCCCAGUGGGGAGUCUGCUUCUCCCUCUGCCCCUCCACCCCACUCUGUCAAAUAAAGUCUUUUUUUAAAAAUAAGAAAGGAAGGAAGGAGGGAGGAAGGAAGAGCUGGAGAACCAAGGAAGUCACCAGCAGGGACAACGCACUGAUAAGGAAAGUAAGGCAGAGUCAGCUCUUCAACACCCCGGGGCGCCUGGGUGGCUCAGUCAGUUAAGCCUCUGCCUUCAGCUCAGGUCGUGAUCCCAGCAUCCUGGAAUCAAGUCCCGCAUCGGGAUCCCCGCUCUCACGGGAAGCCUGCUUCCACUCUCCCCGCCUCUCUUUCUCAUUCUAUCAAUAAAUAAAUAGAUAAUAAAGACGUUUUAAGAUAAUUUCCCCACCCAGCAAGGGGGUCGAACUCACAACCCUGAGAUCAAGGGUCACACGCUCUGUUGACCUAGUUGCCCCCACAAAUUUCUUCCAAGAGUACCAGAGAGUAAAUAUUAGCAGCUUUGCAGACCAAGAGACACGGCUGAAGACAGAAUGUAGGUCCUUAUACAAUCAUUUCUGAUCAAAGCACUGGAAACUAUG